CAAUAGCGUAUAUUUAAGUUGUUGCGGUUAAAAAGCUCGUAGUUGGAUUUCGGUUAAGAGCGACCGGUCCGCCGUUUGGUGUGCACUGGUUGGUUUUAACUUCCUGUAGAGGACGUGCUCUGGGUUUAACGACCUGGACUCGGAGUCUACGUGGUUACUUUGAAAAAAUUAGAGUGUUCAAAGCGGGCUUACGCUUGAAUAUUUCAGCAUGGAAUAACACUAUAGGACUCCUGUCCUAUUUCGUUGGUCUCGGGACGGGAGUAAUGAUUAAGAGGAACAGUUGGGGGCAUUCGUAUUUCAUUGUCAGAGGUGAAAUUCUUGGAUUUAUGAAAGACGAACUUCUGCGAANGNAUUUGCNAAGGAUGUUUNCAUUA
rnacentral:rRNA from 1 species